rnacentral:rRNA from 1 species
CAAUAGCGUAUAUUAAAGUUGUUGCAGUUAAAAAGCUCGUAGUUGGAUUUCUGGCAGGAGCGACCGGUCCGCCGCAAGGUGUGCACUAGGUUGUCUCCAGUCAUCUUUGUGGGAACUGCUCUGGCAUUAGGUUGUCGGGGUUAGGGAACACAUCGUUUACUGUGAAAAAUUAGAGUGUUUAAAGCAGGCUUACCGUUGAAUACAUUAGCAUGGAAUAAUAAGAUAAGACUUGGUGAUAUUUUGUUGGUUUGCGUCGAUGCAUGAUAGAUUAAUAGGGAUAGUUGGGGGUAUUCAAUUUAAUUGUCAGAGGUGAAAUUCUUGGAUUUAUGAAAG